AGUGAACGCUGGCGGUAGGCCUAACACAUGCAAGUCGAACGGCAGCACAGUAAGAGCUUGCUCUUACGGGUGGCGAGUGGCGGACGGGUGAGGAAUACAUCGGAAUCUACUUUUUCGUGGGGGAUAACGUAGGGAAACUUACGCUAAUACCGCAUACGACCUACGGGUGAAAGCAGGGGAUCUUCGGACCUUGCGCGAUUGAAUGAGCCGAUGUCGGAUUAGCUAGUUGGCGGGGUAAGGGCCCACCAAGGCGACGAUCCGUAGCUGGUCUGAGAGGAUGAUCAGCCACUGGAACUGAGACACGGUCCAGACUCCUACGGGAGGCAGCAGUGGGGAAUAUUGGACAAUGGGCGCAAGCCUGAUCCAGCCAUACCGCGUGGGUGAAGAAGGCCUUCGGGUUGUAAAGCCCUUUUGUUGGGAAAGAAAAGCAGCAGGUUAAUACCCCGCUGUUCUGACGGUUCCCAAAGAAUAAGCACCGGCUAACUUCGUG
rnacentral:rRNA from 1 species